GACGAACGCUGGCGGCGUGCUUAACUCAUGCAAGUCGAACGGAAAGGCCCUGCUUUUGUGGGGUGCUCGAGUGGCGAACGGGUGAGUAACACGUGAGUAACCUGCCCUUGACUUUGGGAUAACUUCAGGAAACUGGGGCUAAUACCGGAUAGGAGCUCCUGCUGCAUGGUGGGGGUUGGAAAGUUUCGGCGGUUGGGGAUGGACUCGCGGCUUAUCAGCUUGUUGGUGGGGUAGUGGCUUACCAAGGCUUUGACGGGUAGCCGGCCUGAGAGGGUGACCGGCCACAUUGGUACUGAGAUACGGCCCAGAAUCCUACGGGAGGCAGCAGUGGGGAAUAUUGCACAAUGGGCGGAAGCCUGAUGCAGCAACGCCGCGUGCGGGAUGACGGCCUUCGGGUUGUAAACCGCUUUCGCCUGUGACGAAGCGUGAGUGACGGUAAUGGGUAAAGAAGCACCGGCUAACUACGUG
rnacentral:rRNA from 1 species